AGGACGAACGCUGGCGGCGUGCCUAACACAUGCAAGUCGAACGAGGUCCAGUCUGUAGCAAUACAGAUGAAGACCGAGUGGCGAACGGGUGAGUAGCACGUGAGCAACCUACCCCGAAGACCGGGACAACACCGGGAAACCGGUGCUAAUACCGGAUACCCCCAUCGAGUCGCAUGGCUUGAUGAGGAAAUGGAUUCCGCUUCGGGAGGGGCUCGCGGCCUAUCAGCUAGUUGGUGAGGUAACGGCUCACCAAGGCGUCGACGGGUAGC
rnacentral:rRNA from 1 species